AGCCUUGUGCAGUGGCAGGAUCGUAGCCAAUGAGGUUUAUCCGAGGCAUGAUUAUUGCUCAUUGAAAACUUUUCCCAAUACCCUGCCAUGAUGACUUGAAACACAUUUGAUUUAAAGGGCCACACUUUUACAGACUGAUGGCCCAG
ensembl:snRNA U4 U4 spliceosomal RNA